CCGUGGACUGAAGUCCACGGCUACUCUAGUACCGUCCUUACAGGACU
rnacentral:sRNA from 1 species